ACCUUGCCAUACCAGCCCAUCAGUCCUCUGAGACAGGCAAGCCCAAGAAAGUCAGGGGCCUAUGUGAGCCAAAGAGGAGAGAAGGUGAUGCCUCAGCCCAGUGUUUCUGCCCCACCUCGCUUGUGGCCUUCGGAACUUGAUUUGCACCGCAGGAAAAUGGGCAAUGAAAACCCCUCCCUAACUGGCUUCUCAGUCCACUCUGACCAGCCCACUGCACAGCGCCCACCCUGCAGCUCCAGAUGAGGCCUCACUCUGUCACCCAGGUUGGGGUGGAGUGGCACAGUCACAGCUCACUAUAACCUCAAGCUCCUGGGCUCAAGUGAUCCUGCCACCUCAGCCUCCUAAGUAGCUGGAACUACAGAUGUGCACUGCCAUGCCAGGCUUGUCUAACAUUUUUAUGUGUUGCUUCAUCCAGUUUGCUAGAGUUUUUGGAGAUUUCUGUCUUCAUUCAUGAGGGAUAAUAGUCUGCACUUUUAUUUUCUUGUGAUACUUUUGUCUGAUUUGUUAUCUGGGUAAUACUGGCCUUGAAAAUGAAUUGAUGUUUUCCUGCUUC
rnacentral:lncRNA from 1 species